rnacentral:rRNA from 1 species
CGCGUAGCAAUACGAGCGGCAGACGGGUGAGUAACGNGUGGGAACGUACCUUUUGCUACGGAAUAACUCAGGGAAACUUGUGCUAAUACCGUAUGUGCCCUUCGGGGGAAAGAUUUAUCGGCAAAGGAUCGGCCCGCGUUGGAUUAGCUAGUUGGUGAGGUAAAGGCUCACCAAGGCGACGAUCCAUAGCUGGUCUGAGAGGAUGAUCAGCCACACUGGGACUGAGACACGGCCCAGACUCCUACGGGAGGCAGCAGCG